rnacentral:rRNA from 1 species
AUCAACCUGAACUCAGUCGUGAUUACCCGCUGAACUUAAGCAUAUCAUUUAGCGGAGGAAAAGAAACUAAAAAGGAUUCCCUUAGUAACGGCGAGUGAAACGGGAUGAGCCCAGCGCCGAAUCGAUCAGCCUAUGGUUGCUUCGAAAUGUGGCGUAUAGGUGUAGUCUUCCAGCAGUGUCGUGAGUCCGAAGUCCUUACGAUUGAGGCCAUAGACCAGAGAGGGUGCGAGUCCCGUCCUGGAUUGCGAUGCUGUUGGUUCGAUUGCUCCUUGGAGUCGGGUUGCUUGAAAGUGCAGCCUAAAGUGGGUGAUAAACUUCAUCUAAGGCUAAAUAUUGACUCGAUUGCGAUAGCGAACAAGUACCGUGAGGGAAAGUUGCAAAGGACUUUGAA